AUACGGAGGAUCCGAGCGUUAUCCGGGAUUUAUGGGUUUAAAGGGUGCGCAGGCGGGAUGUUAAGUCGGCGGUGAAAUUUUGCAGCUCAACUGUAAAAGGUGCCUUCGAUACUGGCUUCCUUGAGUGUAGAUGAAGUAGGCGGAAUUUGUGGUGUAGCGGUGAAAUGCUUAGAUAUCACGAGGGACUCCGAUUGCGCAGGCAGCUUACUAAACUACAACUGACGCUCAUGCACGAAGGCGUGGGGAUC
rnacentral:rRNA from 1 species